rnacentral:rRNA from 1 species
AUACGGAGGGUGCAAGCGUUGUUCGGAAUCACUGGGCGUAAAGGGCGCGCAGGCGGUUUGUUAAGCCAGAUGUGAAAGCCCACGGCUCAACCGUGGAAGUGCAUUUGAAACUGGCAGACUUGAGUAACAGAGGGGGAAGUGGAAUUCCCGGUGUAGAGGUGAAAUUCGUAGAUAUCCGGAGGAAUACCGGUGGCGAAGGCGACUUCCUGGCUGGAUACUGACGCUGAGGCGUGAAAGCGUGGGGAGCAAACAGGAUUAGAUACCCUAGUAGUCC